rnacentral:rRNA from 1 species
AACGAACGCUGGCGGCAUGCCUAACACAUGCAAGUCGAACGAGACCUUCGGGUCUAGUGGCGCACGGGUGCGUAACGCGUGGGAACCUGCCCUUAGGUUCGGAAUAACUCAGAGAAAUUUGAGCUAAUACCGGAUAAUGUCUUCGGACCAAAGAUUUAUCGCCUUUGGAUGGGCCCGCGUAGGAUUAGCUUGUUGGUGGGGUAAUGGCCUACCAAGGCGACGAUCCUUAGCUGGUCUGAGAGGAUGAUCAGCCACACUGGGACUGAGACACGGCCCAGACUCCUGCGGGAGGAAGCGGGGGGGAAUAUUGAAAAAGGGGCGAAAGCUGGAUCCAGCAUUGCCGGGGGAGGGAGGAAGGCCUUAGGGUUGAAAAGCUUUUUAACAAGGGAGGAUAAUGACAGUACCGGGAAAAUAAGCUCCGGCUAACCCCGUC